AAAAAACCCCCUCUAGAGAUCCCAUUACAACCUACCUCCUUAAGCCCUAAAUCUUUGUUCUAAAUACAAGCUUCUCGGUUUUUUAGUUUAUGAUGACUUUUACACGAUCAAAUACUACCCUUUUGAUCAUAUUAGUCAUAUUUGUUAUUAUCAUAGGUCAAGUUCAUGUUGAGGGAGCAAGAAUAUUAUCAGAGGAGUUUAAAAGUGCCACUCAUCUUACAACAUCAUCUUAUGUUUAUGAGAAGGCUAAGUUCACGAUGACUUAUUGGUUAGAACGAUUAGCUUCUGGGCCUAGUCCUAGAGGUCCUGGUCACUAACUAACUACAUUUUUUAGGAAAUAGUGAAAAAUAUAUGAUUCAUGUAAUAUAUUUAUUAUUUUUAUAUAUAUAUUAUGCAAUGUGCAAUUGAAGUAAAUAAAUAAAUAAAUUUAUUCUUUUCAAUUAUUGGCAUCUUGAUCAUUACUAGCUGCUUAUUGCAUUUUUUUCAAAUUCUUUUUUAUGUUUUUCUAUUUGGUUGCUAAGAAAUUAUAAAAAUAAUAGAAAAUUAACUAUUCAUUUUCCAACAAAUUUAGUUGCGCCCAUUUGGAGAAUGAAAUCAACAGUGAAAGAGAACAUGGUGUAUCUUUUUGCCAUUUUAAGAAUGAAGAAGUGUGAAUGAGUUUCAAUUUUCCAUGUUACCCUGUUUGGUAGCCGGGAAAAAGAGGGCAUUUGUACCUUUUUUCCAAAAAGGAAAUCAACCAGGCAACCCAAGCCAUUGAAUUAGGUGAGUUCUAUCAUUAUUUUUUUCUUCCCUUCUUCACAGGCAACAGGUUUGAAUAAUCUUAUUUUGUGGAUUUUUAGAAAUAAAUUUGCAAUUUCACAUGUUGUUUUGGCAACACUUCUAAUAGACUAAUUUAAUUUAUAGUAUUAACUAUUUUCUUAUUUUGGAAAAGAAAAUGACCAAUAUUGCCCCUCAACUCUCUUGACUUCAAGUCAUGAAUAGGGUCAUUUCAGUCCGUUACAACAAAGUCACUAAUAUUUAAGUCUGCAUGACUUCUUAAUUCACAAUGAUGAAUUUCGUUUUAGUUAUUUUUGUUUUCAUUGUAAGUAAAGUUUACAUGGAGGCAAUAAAGGUAUUAUCAAAAGGAUAUUAUAAGAAAGCUAAGUCCAUCAUGCCUUGCUGGUUCGAGCAAUUGGUAUUAGGGCCUAGCCCUAGAGGCCCUGAUUAUUGACGAACUCAUUUUUCGAAAUUAUGAAGAUUUUUGCGUUUAUGCGUUGAUGAUAUGUAUUUUUGUUAUAUAUUGCAUAAAAUAAAGUUUUGCAUAUAAUUUUAUGUUACAUUUUUCUUAAAUUCUUUCAUACGGACCAAUUUUUGUUUGAUAUCCUCAUAUUAUAAUAAGAAUUAUGUUGAUUAAAUAUGAUUAUGAGACUUUUUUAAUUAUGAAAUUUUUUAUUCUUUGUCAUUGAUAGAUUCAUUUUCAUUAAUUUUAGUUCAUUAAAAAUUUAUGGCAUAAUUAAUGUUGGUUUAUUUCAAAAAAAAUUAUAGAUUUGAGGCAUAAUAGUUUUUAUUUUUGUUUUAAUUUUAUUUUUUAUUUUUUAUGUUGAAAAAUAUAUGAAAUACCAAAAUAAAAUAAAAUAAAAUAAAAAAGAUACACGCCAAUCUUCAACCCAAGUUCGGGCCCAUUGAGCUACGGAAACCCUGAAACGCUGGCCCAAUAGGAGAGAGCUAGUCUCUCUUUGCGACUGCAACUCUCUCUCUCUAGAAAAUCUUUCAGUCAUCAGUUAGAUCUUCAAAUCUCUGAAUCUCAUCAUCUGGGUGUUGUUUUCUUCUUAAUUUUCCCACUUUUUCUCUCGUCAAAUUUACACCUUUGGCUCUGAUUUUGCUUGCGGUUUCUGAUCUGUUUUUGUGGAGAUUCUUGGUUAUUCAUUGUUUCAGAACAUGGAUCUUUCUUGAAUCUGGAUUUGCACUUGAGUAUUUUUCUUUCCUUUUGUUUUUUGGUGGGGUGUUCAGUACUUUAAUUAUUAUUUGUUUCGAUAUAAGUGUGAUUUAGUGUGAUUUUACUUAGUGAAUUUCAUUUAUUACCCUGUUUGGUUGCCUAGAAAAUGGAAAUAAAAAGAAAGGAACCUCAGUCCCGUUCCAAAUUACCCUCCAUCCAAUUCUAAAAAUUUUGACUACACGAGCCAUAGACUCAUUCUAAAGUAAGUGCGCACGUAUUCAAUUUUACUCACAAGAAAUGGGCCCAAUUUCUCUUUUGAACGUUCUUGGUCAACACGUAAGGCUCUUAAACCCUACCAAAACCCUAAGAUUCAUUCAAACCAGUGAACAUGGUCCAACCCUAACCACACCAACUUGAAACUCCAUACAUCUAUAAAUACCCAAAGCCUCAUUCAUUUCCCAUAUCACAAGAGCAAAAAACCCCCUCUAGAGAUCCCAUUACAACCUACUUCCUUAAGCCCUAAAUCUUUGUUUUCAAUACAAGUUUCUCGGUUUUUUAGUCUAUGAUGAUGAGUCUUACACGAUCAAAUACUACCCUUUUGAUCAUAUUAGUCAUAUUUGUUAUUAUCAUAGGUCAAGUUCAUAUCGAAGGAGCAAGAAUGUUAUCAGGGGAGUUUAAAAGUGCAACUCAUCUUACAACGUCAUCUUAUGUUUAUAAGAAGACUAAGUUCACGAUGACUUAUUGGUUAGAGUGCUUAGCUUCUGGGCCUAGCCCUAGAGGUCCUGGUCACUAACUAACUAUAUCUUUUAGGAAAUAGUGAAAAAUAUAUGAUUCAUGUAGUAUAUUUGUUAUAUUUUUUUAUUUUUUAUUUUAUAUAUUAUAUAAUGUGCAAUUGAAG
rnacentral:lncRNA from 1 species